CUGCAACUACUAAAUUCAACGAAAUUGAAACUAAAUUUAUUUAUACUGGAUAGCUUUAUUUGUUGUAGACUACAUGUUCUCACAGAGGUCUGGACUAUAUAUAUAUAGUGGUCCAUAAUUGUAAUUAAACUGUUGUUCGUCGAGGUACAGUGUGAAGAGACACUAAACUAGAUUGCUUCAUUUAAUAUAUUCAGUGGAUAAGUUUCAAUUUCGCA